GUGCUUGCUUCGGAAGCACAUAUACUAAAAAUUGGAAUGAUACAGAGAAGAUUAUCAUGGCCUCUGUGUAAGGAUGACACACAAAUCGCUAAAGCAAAAAUAAUGACU